rnacentral:rRNA from 1 species
AUUGAACGCUAGCGGCAUGCCUUACACAUGCAAGUCGAACGGCAGCACGGGGCAACCUGGUGGCGAGUGGCGAACGGGUGAGUAAUGUAUCGGAACGUGCCCAGUAGCGGGGGAUAACUACGCGAAAGCGUAGCUAAUACCGCAUACGCCCUACGGGGGAAAUGGGGGGAUCGCAAGACCUCUCACUAUUGGAGCGGCCGAUAUCGGAUUAGCUAGUUGGUGAGGUAAAGGCUCACCAAGGCUUCGAUCCGUAGCUGGUUUGAGAGGACGACCAGCCACACUGGGACUGAGACACGGCCCAGACUCCUACGGGAGGCAGCAGUGGGGAAUUUUGGACAAAGGGGGCAACCCUGAUCCAGCAAUGCCGCGUGUGCGAAGAAGGCCUUCGGGUUGUAAAGCACUUUUGGCGGGAACGAAACGGUGCCGGAUAAUACCUGGCGCCACUGACGGUACCCGCAGAAUAAGCACCGGCUAACUACGUG